CCGUUGCAAAAUGCGAUAAGUGGUGUGAUAUGCAAGUCCAAAACUUAUACGUGAACCAUCGAAUUGUUGAACGCACUGCAUCGAGCCUUACCCAGGAACGAUACGCCCCAUUGAGCGUCAUUACGUCUUCGCGACCUGUCCCCUUCUUGCGGGACUUGUCCGGGUUCGGGAUUCACGGCCCACGGCCGCGCUUCCUCAGAUGCAUGGACGCGCCGGAACGCCGGGUGACCUUGUCAUGAAUGUCGAGGCAGCCCAUGUGUCCCGGCGCAGGAUCCGCCGUCCGCCGACGGAUCGAGUGCGCUCGCCGCAACUUCUCCACAUGACCUCACGGGGGUGGGACGACCCGCUAGACUUAAGCAUAUUAAUCAGCGGAGGAAAAGAAACUAACAAGGAUUCCCCCAGUAACUGCGAGUGAAGAGGGAUGAGCUCAAUGUGUGAAUCGCGUCGGGAUUAGCCCCCUUCUCGAGUUGUGCACUAUAGACGCCGGAUCAGCGCUGGAAGGAUCGAGGUGGAUGUCCGAUGAAACUCGGUGCCAUUGAGGGUCAUAGUCCUGUACUUGCCUUGCCAUCCUUUGCGCCUUUGACCGGUGUUCUUUGAGUCGCGUAGUUUUGUAUUGGUGCGCUAAUCGGGAGGUAGAGCCCUUCUAAAGCUAAAUAUGAUGACGUGACCGAUAGCACACAAGUACCGCGAGGGAAAGGUGAAAAGCAACCAUGCAGAAUGGGUUGAAACAGCAGUGAAAGCGCUACUGGGAUAAGGGCUGGGGAUUGCUUGUGU
rnacentral:rRNA from 1 species